UUCUCAUAAUUUAUGAAUUUUUUUGAAUAAAAACAUCGAAUGUAUGGAUAAUAAAAUGGAAAGUAAAACACGGAGAUCAAUUCACCACUGAUUAAUUUCAUUUAGAAAACAAAGGGUAUAAUCGACAAAAUAAUCACCUAAAAAUUGCGACUAGCUCCAACCUCGGACCUCCCUCCUCACCUCCGAUCUCCAUCUGGAGUAUCAUGGCACUCUGCCUAUCGUGGUUUGUAAAGCACACCAUGUGGCCCAGAGCUUUCACCGUUGCCACCAACCAGUGAUGCCUUCCUUGAUCCAGCAACUCUCCAUCACAUCGGCGACGCUCCUUUGACUCUGAAGACGCCUUCCUCAGUCUCAACUAGUCCCUUUGUUUGGUAAAUAAACCAAUCCUUUUCCCUUUCACAGCCUCAUUCCAAUCGACAAAGAUGUGAUCAAAUUGAAUUGGUUCGUCUUCUUCGAUGAAGUUUGUUUUCUAGUUGAUCUCCAUUGACAAAUAUAUCUGACAUUCCAUGGAAAAUUACGAGUAUUUACUGAGCAUUGGACAUGUCACUGGUACAUGACUAGAUCAAAGGGACUUAUCUAUUGUAUCUUACUGCUGCUAUUAGAGAAGAAUUUCACUGCUUAUAUGCUACAAGGAUUAAGUUUGUGCAACUGCACGUGGUUCUUGUUAGAAGUUAGGAUAGUUUUGUUAACCAAUUGUUUGUGUUGUUUAUCUUAACAGUAGUUCUUCUCAUUUUCUUCUAGUUAUUUUAGAAUUUCACACUACCACUUUAAAUCAAUGCCAUUUCAGUUUUUUUUUCUUAUAGGUAGAAAACUUUUUUUGACUAAUUGUAUCCACUUGAGGUUGAAGGCUACUUUUGAUUUAAUAAUGAGAAAUGAGAAUGGUCUAUUUCAAUAUUUAUAUGCAAGGGUAAAUAAAAUAUGUCAAAGCAAUAUCUA